GGAGUGGAAAAUGGCGGCCUCCUUGCCGCUUGGGUUACCAGAGUCCUCCCGACCUCGUGCUUUCUCCGGGCGCCCGUAGCUGGUGCCGGCAUCCACAAAAAUAGAUCAGAUAGAGGAUGAAUAAAGAGGAAGCUCCAGGCUGUGAGGUGUCUAAUCCUUGCUCCCCUCAGAAGUUGGGACAUGUUGGACCAAGGUGGUAAGGAUAGUGAGAGGCCAAAGAUUUAACAAUACACUGUGAUGCUGGGGCUGGCUGGGAGGAGAUUGCACCUUUAUAGCCCGGUGGUGGCAAUCCAGAGUGCAACCCCUAGAGAUGGCAACUUGACAAGACCUCUCAAAAAACACUACACACAGUUUUUGAGCCCCUCAACCCACUUCUGAGAGUAUGUCCUAUGGCAACAUGUGCACACAUGGAAAAUAAAGCCUGUACAAGUUUCCCAGAAGCUGGACAAGCCACGACGGCGCCUUCCAAUAAAAGGGGAACUCCAGAGACGCUAUGAGAAAAGAGGAACAGACAUCUGCAAUAGAUAUCUGCAACUUCCUUUUCAAAAACACCAUCGGCAUUGCUUUCUCAGGAAGCCACUGCCAGCCUAUUGUGAUAGCUGACACUGAGUUCCUGAAAAUUCUCUAAUUAGGAUCCCAGACUGGAGGGUCAGCCAGUGGUUAACAUAUAAAUGGACACAAAACUGAUUUUAUUGGAAGACUGAGGGUGGGCACUCACCAUGGUUCUAAGCAUUACUCAGAAGAUCCAUAAAAACAUUACAGUUCUGUUGUGUAAGAGUUUAGGAAAAAAAGAAAAUCCUGACAAAAAUCCCAACCUAAAAAACAAUGUCAACAUUUGUAAGUAGGAUGGGGAGGCAGAGAUGAAUUGGCAGCGUUAUCACAGCUACUGGACUAUGUGGACUUUAACAAAAUAAGAAACAGGGGUGGGGGUUGGGUGGUGGUAUCUUAACAGAGCAGGAGUAGAGACGGAUGUCCUGGGGCAGAAUGGGUACCAAUGCUGCCUGAAGCCUGGAGCUGGGAGCUAAGGACUAAGAGGUAGACAGGAGGGUGGGGACCCGUACCUGCUCCAAGGAACUGGUGCCCCAGAACUGGUGAGCUGGGGUAUGCAUUUAAGCUCAUUCGUUUACCAGAAUGCAGUCACCACCUGAUGAAAGAAAUGACUAAUGGCAGGACUUGAACAGUUCUCUAUAAAUGAGUACCUGGGAGAAAAACAGGUCUCCAGGCUCCACAAUACCCAACAAACACACUGCCUUUAGCCCAUUUCAAGCUGCACUUCUUACACCGAACCCAACCCAACCAACCUCAGAGGUAAGGGUGAGAGCAGGCAAUGAACAGCUGUGAUUCUCCAUUCCCUGGCCAGGCAGGGAGCCUUUCCAUCCACCCUCGUGAGACUGCUUGUAACACAAAUAAGGAAACCAACUCCAAGACUCAGUAACUCACCCAAGGUCAGAACCACUGAGUGGCAGGGCCUGUGAGCCACAAAGGAGACUGAAAACCAGAAAGAGCUUCUCUCUGGUCUGUUAUUUUAAGAAAAACAUGCCCAGAGGGGCCACCUGGAACCAAGGCUGUGGCUCCCUCACCUUCCUCUCUAAUUAAACAACAACUUCCCAGGAGCAACAACAGCAACAACAGGCUGGCCCAGCAGAUGAACUGGAAUCAAUCCAAGCCUUUCCCCUAUGCCAGGGCUGGUGUAGCGUAGGCAUACGGGUCAGUUUCGGCACUAACACCUACUUAGUUUGGGCACUACUUUACCUGCUGUGAAGUCUACUGGGAUCUUCCAGGAAAGUCCUACCUCAUUAGUAAAAAGAAAAACAAAGACUCAGGAAGAAAGUUCCUGCUCUCCCUGUUGAAUGCUGUGUGAGGAUA
rnacentral:antisense_RNA from 1 species